rnacentral:rRNA from 1 species
CGUAGGGCGCAAGCGUUGUCCGGAAUUAUUGGGCGUAAAGAGCUCGUAGGCGGCUUGUCACGUCGGGUGUGAAAGCCCGGGGCUUAACCCCGGGUCUGCAUUCGAUACGGGCUAGCUGGAGUGUGGUAGGGGAGAUCGGAAUUCCUGGUGUAGCGGUGAAAUGCGCAGAUAUCAGGAGGAACACCGGUGGCGAAGGCGGAUCUCUGGGCCACUACUGACGCUGAGGAGCGAAAGCGUGGGGAGCGAACAGGAUUAGAUACCCUGGUAGUCCACGCCGUAAACGGUGGGAACUAGGUGUUGGCGACAUUCCACGUCGUCGGUGCCGCAGCUAACGCAUUAAGUUCCCCGCCUGGGGAGUACGGCCGCAAGGCUA